rnacentral:tRNA from 1 species
GCGGGAGUAGUUCAAUGGUAGAACCUUGGCCUUCCAAGCUAAUGACACGGGUUCGAUUCCCGUUUCCCGCUCCA